AAAAACAGCUUCUUUAGAAUGAAAGGGAAAUGCUCCACGUAUUUGAUUUUCGUCAAAGCCCAAAAUGCAGAAGUCUUGUGCAAUUGGACAUCUUUUACAGGGAUAGGAGAGGAAAAUGGACAGUUUGACUAGUUUGUUAUUGGUGUUAAGAAAAAGGUGAAAAAAAAUGGGUUCAUAUGCAUUUCUUUGAUGCUAUAUCCAAUGCACUAACUUGCAUUGUUAAUGUACAUAACAGGAAUGAGGCAAACAAUAUUAC
rnacentral:misc_RNA from 1 species